ACAACAAAUACCCGCAAAAUGGAGAAUUGAUCGAGGACUCGAUCGAGGAAGAAUAAUCAUGUGGAGACUAUCUCGUUCAGUAACUUGCCUACCUCAUAAGAAUAAGUUAAAGGUAGGUACAGGUGGAGCUGCUGCUGGUUAUCAUACAGAGAACUGCUUUGGAUACUGGAGGAAACCUCGAGCUAUAGACCCAGUACAGAAAGAAUGGAUUGAAUCCAGAAGCCGUCAGCCUAACAUAUGGCGUCUAGUAACUAGCUAUCAGAAUAAUGGACACAAGACAGCGAGGACUGAUCCACUGGGUAUUAAUAAUAAAUGGUCUGAUCCAAUUGAAUUGAAUCCUGAGGUUUAUGGAUUAGAUAAUAAUAAUUAUUAUUACGAUACACUCGGAAUAUUACAUUGUUUUGAAGGGGGCGAAGCCUCAUUAUCCGAUAUUAUUAAUUACCUUAAUAAAACAUACUGUGGAAAUACAGCAAUUGAAGUAUCACACAUAAUGGAUCCUGGGGAGAGAGAGUGGGUAUUACGAUCUUAUGAAACUCACGUUAACUCCUCCCUCGGUCUUGAGUCCCAUCAAAGGUUAGGGACUGGCAUGAUAAAGUCUCAGGUACUGGAUCAGUUCCUGGCUAAGAAGUUCCCAACAGUAAAGAGGUAUGGAGGAGAAGGAGCAGAAGCAAUGAUAGGAUUCACUGAUGAACUGUUUGAUAGAGCAGCUGAUGUUGGUGUAUCUGAUGUGUUGGUUGGUAUGUCCCACAGAGGAAGGCUCAACCUACUGAUUGGACUAAUGGAGUAUCCACCAGUAGCUGUCUUUAAUAAAAUCAAAGGUAAUUCCGAGUUUUCCGAUGCAAUGACUUAUACUGGUGACGUACUCUCUCACUUGACUAGUUCUGUUGAUAUCAGUCGAGGUGGGCGGAGUCUUCAUGUCACCAUGUUACCAAACCCCUCCCACCUUGAGGCCGUCAAUCCUGUCCUCAUGGGAAAGACCAGAGGAAGAAUGCUCUCACGACUAACUGGACCCUAUCAGAAUGACAAUACUAGCAGUGAUAGGUCUAAUGUUCUUUCCUUCCUGGUUCAUGGUGAUGCUUCAUUCUCAGCCCAAGGGGUAGUGAUGGAGUGUCUGUCCAUCAGUGAAGUACCUCACUAUGAGGUUGGUGGUACCAUUCACCUUGUCGUUAAUAAUAAUCUUGGAUUUACCACUCCUCAUAAUUACGGGAGGUCGUCAAUGUAUUGCAGUGACAUUGGUAAAAUGAAUGGAGUUCCUAUUGUUCAUGUUAAUGGCUCCUACCCUGAAGACGUGCUAAAGGUCAGUAGGUUUGCUGUUGACUAUUGGAACCAGUUUAAUAAAGACGUCAUUAUAGUCUUGAACUGUUAUAGGAGAUGGGGACACAAUGAGUUAGAUGACCCCAGUAUCACUCAGCCUCAGAUGUAUAGAAUAAUUAACAAACUGAAGACAAUACCUGAUACCUACUGGGAGGAGAAUGUUGAGUCUUUUGGUGAUGUCUCUUCUCUUACUCAAUCAUAUUAUGAUGAGUUGAAUAAUUAUUUUAAAGAGGUGGACAAUUUCAAAUCAGAAGAAUCUAAUUUUAAGUGUCAGUGGAAGGAUAUGGUCCAACCAGCGGCUAGUGGUAUAUCGGAAUGGGACACUGGACUGGACAUUGGCUUAUUGAAGUAUAUUGGAGAGAGAUCAGUUGCUGUUCCUAAAGGAAUGAGGGUACAUGACAGACUCCAGUCCUCCCACAUUAGCGAGAGGUUGAGUCGACUGGUUAAUGAUAAGAUUGACUGGUCCACAGCUGAAGCACUGGCCAUCGGUAGCCUGUUGUACCAGGGGGUUAAUGUUAGGGUCAGUGGACAGGACGUGGGUAGAGGGACCUUCAGUCACAGACACAUGAUGAUCAUUGACCAGGAGACCAAUGGGGCAGUGAUACCGUUGAAUAGCAUUAGGGAGGAUCAGGGACACUUUAUUGAGGUUGCUAAUAGCCCACUGAGUGAAGAGGCAGUUCUUGGUUAUGAGUACGGGUACAGCAUAGAAAACCCAAACCAUCUCGUGAUCUGGGAGGCUCAGUAUGGAGACUUCUUUAACGGAGGACAGAUCAUGAUAGAUGCAUUUAUAUCAUCAGGAGAAGAUAAGUGGCUCUAUCAGUCUGGACUGGUCAUGUGUCUACCCCAUGGCUAUGAUGGAGCUGGACCCGAGCACUCGUCCUCUAGGAUAGAGAGGUUUCUACAGAUGACUAAUUCUAGUGAAGAAGGUGGGGACUCUGAUAGUGUCAAUAUUAAUGUUGUUCAUCCGACCACACCCUCUCAAUAUUAUCAUGUCUUGAGACGACAGAUGGUCCGAAACUUUAGAAAACCUUUAAUAAUACAAUCACCAAAAACGUUACUGAGACUACCAUCAGCUGUAUCAUCAUUGAAUGAGAUGUCACCUGGUACCACAUUCAAACCAGUAAUAGGAGACCAUACCAUCAAGAAUAAGGACAGUGUGGAGAGGAUUGUUUUGUGUUCGGGUAAACAUUAUUAUGCACUUGACAGUUACAGGAAAGAAAAUAACAUUGAAAACGUUCCUAUAAUUAGAAUAGAAUUACUGUGUCCAUUUCCAAGUGGUUCACUCUAUGAUGAACUCUAUAAAUACAAACAAGUUAAAGUCUGAUAUUCACUUCCUUUAGAGUUUGUAUGGAGUCAAGAGGAGCCAGCUAAUAUGGGGGUGUGGUCUUUCAUAGAACCACGAAUGAGAAAACAGCUGGGGAUUAAUCUGCACAGAGUUAGUAGAGUAGCCUAUGGACCACCUGCCACUGGAAUCACUAGAAUACACCAACAGGAGGCAAAGAAAAUACUGCAAGAGACAUUUUCAUAAGUUAAUUGAAUCAUUUUAAAUCAA